UACUUUCUCAGUAUUCAACAUAAAUGUUAUACACAUUUGCAUUGUUGAGGAUUUAAUUCAGUGGAGCAGGAAGCUAGCCUGACGUGGCUAGAAAACCUAUGUGCCUACAGCUAGCAAACCCGGCAGCCAUGUUGCAGUUGCACACGAUCAGGGGUUGUCACUAGUUACCACAGCCACACAACCAAUCGGCUCUAUCGUAAACAUUUAUGGUAUUAAUUUAAGGUUAGGUAUAAGGUUAGCAUUGGGUUAGGGUUAAAAACCUAUUUUAAGAAGAUAAAUUGUAGAAUAGGCGGUGUUUCUGACUUUGAAACAGAGACUGUGGAGUAUGUAUUGCAACAGUGUGGGCAGUAUCAGUGGGAGGGGUUGCGAUCUAGAAUGAGGGAGAAGGGGAAACAGGAAAUGAGUUUAACCAGUAUAUUGAGUAGAACAUCCUUAGAUAUAGUCUCAAAUAUUUUAUAUUUUUUUAAGAACAAUGGAGCUGGCAGGUAGGUUUUAGUUUCACCCUGUCACUGGCCCACACUCCAGGACAGUAGGUGGCGGUAAUGCACCACAACGUUAGAUGCCAAGAUAAACCACACCAAAUAAGACGUUUAUGACUGGCUGUGGUAACUAGUGACGCAACUAUGGCUGGGGACAUCUUCAUUACGCCAAUUCUGUUGCAAAACAGUUAUUAAACAGAAGCGAAUGUAACGGGAAGAACCUACAGACGAAGAACCAUAUAUGUGACAUUUUUCAACCAAAAAAAAGAGAUAUACAUGAAAAAUCAUUAUUGGACCCCCUUUUUCUAUAGUGAACCGGUUUCACAAGCUUUCCACGCGCUAAUUAACAAUAUUUUUACAUUUAAAGAUAGGCUCUCGUGGAAUAACCGUUUAUGUGCACCACUCAGAAUGGACGGACAAGCGCACAACUUUUCUGUUGCUGAUGAAAAUCGCCGAAAUGUGGGAAAGAAACGUAAAACAAAACUAAAAGAAUGGAAAGACAGGCAAAGGAAGAUCUUACGGGAUGUGGGAAAACCCUAUACAAAUCGUAAGGGUCAAGAAAAAAAUGGGAAAAGCUGUCCAAAAGAGGGAAGAGCGUGUUUGUUCCACGACGUGCAGAAAGGAUUGUGGAAAGUUGACUGAUGAGCGCAAGCUGCAUCUGUUCAACACUUUCUACACUGUCCCAUACGAGAAACAACAAGCGUUGAUUCUCUCCGGCUUAGAACAGCAUGAGGAUACAAAGGAGAACAAACGACGGAAACAAACCUUCAAAUACCAUGUACAGCAAGCAGCCAGAGAUUUAAUGUGUGCAAGGUCACUUUCAUGUCUGUGUUCCAGCUAACCAACAGCCGU